UAGUAAAAUAAAUUAAAUUUUAAAAUUUUGAGAUAUUGUAUUCAUAAUAAGUGUUGUAUUGUUUGCUGCCUCCUCAUCCUCUCACGUGAAGGACUUACACAGGGGCCAGUUGGACUGAGAGUAUUGUGGCUGGCUAAGACUGGCUAAUGUCAAAGGGAUAUCGCCUGGAAAGUAGUCUCUGCUCUAAUAGUAUUGAACGUUUAUUAACAAAGUAGUUUUUUUUUUCCUGGUACUAGGGAUCAAACUGGACCUUGUGCUUGUGAGGCAGGCGUGGCGCCACUGAGCUAAAUCCCUGGCCUCAGAGCUAGAUGUUUGAUAGAAGAAGCUUCUGCAUAUAUUUUUGGUCUAAAAUUUUCAGUUUUCUUUGGAACAAUUUUAGAUCUACCAAAACUUUGUAGAAGAGAGUUCCUAUGCCCUCACCCGAAGUCAGCUUCCCCUCAUCUAGUCGUGUAUUGCUGUGGGAUGUUUGCCCAAACUGAGAAGCCAGCAUUGGUGUGUUUCCGUUACUCCAGUUUUUCUGUUCUGUCCUAUUCUGGGACUCAGUACAGGACACCACCUUGGUCUGUUGUUAUUGCUCCUUAGUCUCCUCUGGUUUGUGACAGUUUCUCAGUCUUACCCUUGGUUUUCAUCACCUUAACAGUUUUGAGGCAAAUGAGAUAGGCAGGGUUCAGAAUGUCCCUCAGUUGGGGUUUCCCUGGGGUGGCAGGUUUCUGGUAGGACCACAGAGGCGCCAUGGCUUUAUUGUGACAUCAUCUUGAGUGUACAGUGUUACCACAUGAUGUCACUUUGUUACCCUUCAUCACUUCGUUAAGGUGGAAGCUGACUAAUUUUUCCUUUACAUGGGAAAUCUCUGGGAAAAUGAGCCAUUUCUCCAAGGAGCCCUGAUGCCUCUCAUCUACUACCUGGAAUGUGAAUGUGACAUCUGUCAUUCUGCUGCCAUUUUGGGCCAUGAGGAUGAGCGAAGUGGACAAACACCAUAAUGAUGGCAGACCAGUGAGCUAGGUGGAGCCUGUAUUCCUGCAGACUUCAUGAGCAAAGCCACCAUACCUGUCCUCAGCCACCCACUCCUGUCCUUUACCUGAGAGAGAAAUAAAAUCUUAUUUAACCACUGUUAUUUUUGGGGCAUUUGUUACUUGUGGUUAGACCUAAUUUCAACUUGUACAAUACACCGAUGCCUAAAGCAAUGUCUGGCACAGAGUGGGCAAUUCAGUAAGUGGCAGUAGCUGUUAUUAUUUUGUGUCCAAUAAUGGAUACAUUGAAGUCAAAUUAUAAAAGGGCUUGAAAGUCAAGGACAGAAGUCUGACCUGGAUGUGAGGCACUUUACCGUUUGACUUGAGAACAACUUGACCAAAAU
rnacentral:lncRNA from 1 species